AACGAACGCUGGCGGCAUGCCUAACACAUGCGAGUCGAACGAGACCUUCGGGUCUAGUGGCGCACGGGUGCGUAACGCGUGGGAAUCUACCCUCAGGUUCGGAAUAACUCAGAGAAAUUUGAGCUAAUACCGGAUGAUGACGUAAGUCCAAAGAUUUAUCGCCUGAGGAUGAGCCCGCGUAGGAUUAGGUAGUUGGUGAGGUAAAGGCUCACCAAGCCGACGAUCCUUAGCUGGUCUGAGAGGAUGAUCAGCCACACUGGGACUGAGACACGGCCCAGACUCCUACGGGAGGCAGCAGUGGGGAAUAUUGGACAAUGGGCGAAAGCCUGAUCCAGCAAUGCCGCGUGAGUGAUGAAGGCCUUAGGGUUGUAAAGCUCUUUUACCCGGGAUGAUAAUGACAGUACCGGGAGAAUAAGCUCCGGCUAACUCCGUG
rnacentral:rRNA from 1 species